rnacentral:rRNA from 1 species
AGGGGAUCCUCGGACCUUUCGCUAUGAGAUGAGCCUGCGUUAGAUUAGCUAGUUGGUAGGGUAAAGGCCUACCAAGGCGACGAUCUAUAGCUGGUCUGAGAGGACGAUCAGCCACACUGGGACUGAGACACGGCCCAGACUCCUACGGGAGGCAGCAGUGGGGAAUAUUGGACAAUGGGCGAAAGCCUGAUCCAGCAAUACCGCGUGUGUGAAGAAGGCCUUAGGGUUGUAAAGCACUUUCAAUUGGGAGGAAAACCUGCCGGCCAAUACCCGGUAGCUUGACAUUACCUUUAGAAGAAGCACCGGCUAACUCCGUGCCAGCAGCCGCGGUAAUACGGAGGGUGCGAGCGUUAAUCGGAAUUACUGGGCGUAAAGCGUGCGUAGGCGGUUCGUUAAGUCAGAUGUGAAAGCCCUGGGCUCAACCUGGGAACUGCAUUUGAAACUGGCGGACUAGAGUUUAGUAGAGGGGAGUGGAAUUUCAGGUGUAGCGGUGAAAUGCGUAGAUAUCUGAAGGAACACCAGUGGCGAAGGCGACUCCCUGGACUAGAACUGACGCUGAGGUACGAAAGCGUGGGUAGCAAACAGGAUUAGAUACCCUGGUAGUCCACGCCGUAAACGAUGUCGACUAGC